rnacentral:rRNA from 1 species
UACGGGGGGUGCGAGCGUUGUCCGGAAUCACUGGGCGUAAAGGGCGCGUAGGUGGUUUGAUAAGGGUGUGGUGAAAGUCCGGAGCUCAACUCCGGAUCUGCCGUGCCGACUGUCAAACUCGAGGGCUGUAGAGGCAGACGGAAUUCCGGGUGUAGCGGUGGGAUGCGUAGAGAUCCGGAGGAAGACCGGUGGCGAAGGCGGUCUGCUGGGCAGUUUCUGACACUGAGGCGCGACAGCGUGGGGAGCAAACAGG